rnacentral:rRNA from 1 species
GUACACUCCUGCGGGAGGCAGCAGUGGGGAAUAUUGGACAAUGGGCGCAAGCCUGAUCCAGCCAUGCCGCGUGAGUGAUGAAGGCCCUAGGGUUGUAAAGCUCUUUCACCGGUGAAGAUAAUGACGGUAACCGGAGAAGAAGCCCCGGCUAACUUCGUGCCAGCAGCCGCGGUAAUACGAAGGGGGCUAGCGUUGUUCGGAUUUACUGGGCGUAAAGCGCACGUAGGCGGACUAUUAAGUCAGGGGUGAAAUCCCGGGGCUCAACCCCGGAACUGCCUUUGAUACUGGUAGUCUUGAGUUCGAGAGAGGUGAGUGGAAUUCCGAGUGUAGAGGUGAAAUUCGUAGAUAUUCGGAGGAACACCAGUGGCGAAGGCGGCUCACUGGCUCGAUACUGACGCUGAGGUGCGAAAGCGUGGGGAGCAAACAGGAUUAGAUACCCCAGUAGUCCCAU